rnacentral:rRNA from 1 species
AUUGAACGCUGGCGGCAGGCCUAACACAUGCAAGUCGAGCGGAUGAAGGGAGCUUGCUCCUGGAUUCAGCGGCGGACGGGUGAGUAAUGCCUAGGAAUCUGCCUGGUAGUGGGGGAUAACGUCCGGAAACGGGCGCUAAUACCGCAUACGUCCUGAGGGAGAAAGUGGGGGAUCUUCGGACCUCACGCUAUCAGAUGAGCCUAGGUCGGAUUAGCUAGUUGGUGGGGUAAAGCCUACCAAGGCGACGAUCCGUAACUGGUCUGGGAGGAUGAUCAGUCACACUGGAACUGAGACACGGUCCAGACUCCUACGGGAGGCAGCAGUGGGGAAUAUUGGGCAAUGGGCGAAAGCCUGAUCCAGCCAUGCCGCGUGUGUGAAGAAGGUCUUCGGAUUGUAAAGCACUUUAAGUUGGGAGGAAGGGCAGUAAGUUAAUACCUUGCUGUUUUGACGUUACCAACAGAAUAAGCACCGGCUAACUUCGUG